CACUAUCUCUCAGCAGAGAGAGGCCCAGGCUUUAAUGAACAUGGAGACUGAACUGUCCUCUGACCUGCUGUAGUGAUGCUUCCAGAACACUGGCAAGACGCCCUGGAGAAACUUAGCAUUACUGCAGCUGGUUUGUAUGUAGCCAGUAGGUAGACUGAGAACUCUUCAGGUUAGUCAAGCCAGAUCCUUUCUCUAGCACUAAAUUUACUUUCAAACUUUUAUGAAAGAGAUGGGGGGAUGGGAAGAUAUGUGUAAGGAUGCAAGUAACAGAAAAAUGAAAGGAAAAUAAACUGAAGCAAGGCCAUUGAAAUGGCAUCCAAAACGUAGAGAGGGACAUUUUUAUGAUUUAGGGCUUAUUGGUGGUGGGCGUGACAAAUGUAUUUUGCUAUUGAACUCAAAACACAUCAUAAACCUCAGUAGUAUUUUCUUAAAUCAUAUUUUUUCCCCUUGUCUCCUAUAGGAAUAGAUAAUUGGUACCACCGUAGGGAGCCUGCCUCUGUUAGGAUCAGGAGCAAAAGAUCGCGGUCACUCAUUCUGAGAUACAACUGGAACUCUCUCCUUUGCAAACAGUUUUUUCUCUUUUCUCCUUCAAAAGCCAAAUCCUCUGGGCAGUGA
rnacentral:lncRNA from 1 species